CUCACUGAUGGCUAAACUGGUGCGUCUUGGCAGCUAGAAGUGGCUCACUAGAAUCUGUUCUUCCUUUGUUGUCAUCUUUUGCUUAUCCAUCUAGAACAGAGCUUGCUUCCUUCACCAAUCUCGACCACAUGCUGAUCUUGAACUGUCAUCGCUGUACUGUAGUUUGAGGGAAACUGAGUUCAGAACACUGGUUGCUAACGGCAGUUUCGUUAGCCCUUGGAGUGCCAUGAUACACCUAGCUAGCAGGGUGUUUGUAGGAGGUGCUAACCCCGUACGCAGGUCAACACACGUGGAACGGAAGGAUGUAUAUUCGUGAGCAUCGUACUCAUACUUGUUUUGUGGGCUACAUGCCUAUGCUUGUUUCAUGGCUUUUAAACCCGGCUUGUUGGUGAUUUACCCUCGUGGACUGUGUGUUCACGCUUGUUGGUUACUUAUGCUCGUGGACUAUGUGUCCACGCUUGUUAAUCAUUUUGAUUAAGUCCUGCUAAAAUGUGAAAUUUUGAGAAUUAUU